rnacentral:rRNA from 1 species
GGGGAAUAUUGGACAAUGGGCGCAAGCCUGAUCCAGCCAUGCCGCGUGUGUGAAGAAGGUCUUCGGAUUGUAAAGCACUUUAAGUUGGGAGGAAGGGCAGUAAGUUAAUACCUUGCUGUUUUGACGUUACCAACAGAAUAAGCACCGGCUAACUUCGUGCCAGCAGCCGCGGUAAUACGAAGGGUGCAAGCGUUAAUCGGAAUUACUGGGCGUAAAGCGCGCGUAGGUGGUUACUCAAGUCAGAGGUGAAAGCCCGGGGCUCAACCCCGGAACUGCCUUUGAAACUAGGUAACUAGAAUCCUGGAGAGGUGAGUGGAAUUCCGAGUGUAGAGGUGAAAUUCGUAGAUAUUCGGAAGAACACCAGUGGCGAAGGCGGCUCACUGGACAGGUAUUGACGCUGAGGUGCGAAAGCGUGGGGAGCAAACA